rnacentral:tRNA from 1 species
GCGGCAUUGGCGGAAUUGGUAGACGCGCCAGACUUAGGAUCUGGUUCCUCACGGAGUGAAAGUUCGAGUCUUUUAUGCCGCA